AGAGAACCAUUCUCUGCUUUCAAUAGGACAGAAGAGCUCCUUGGCACUGGAUGCCUCCGGGUCUGGUUGAGAGAGGAAUGGUUAGGAGACUGUUCUGAGGAUACGCAGACAUCAUCCAAAGCUUCCUACAUUCAGAUGAGGACAGAGGUUGGGCCAGAGCUUUGUAAGCUUGUUACCUAAGGAUGGUUCUGACCAUGUAAGCAGAUCACAGAAGCACUGUUCACAAUAGCAAAGACUUGGAACCAAUCCAAAUGCCCAUCAAUGAACACCUGGAUAAAGAAAAUGUGGCACAUACACAGCAUGGAAUACUAUGCAGCCAUAAAUAAGGAUGAAUUCAUGUCCUUUGCAGGGACAUGGAUGAAGCUGGAAAACAUCAUUCUCAGCAAACUAAGCUAUUCACAGAUCAUCAUCAGCCAGAGGUGACUUCUGUUGCUUGCAGCUCAGAAUCCUAGAUGUUUCCGGUGGCACUGAAGAGCCUCUGCUGAAGCUCUAUACCAUUUGCCAUUUACAAAGGGAAAUGAAAUAAUAACGCUGACCAUUUGUGGAGCACAUUCUGUCUGGAGGCAAAGGAUGCCAAGAUGGGAAAGCCACAUAAUGGAAGGAUCCUGGAUUUCAGAGCUGUCACUUGGAGGAGGGGCACCCAGUGAAGGUGUCUUAUCUAACCCACACCAUAUCUUCAUGAAGUGGCCAUAUGGAUUUGAUCCCUAUCCUUCAGAGGUGCUCAGCCUAAGGGAACACGGAUAGUAGAUUAAGCACUGACCAGAUAUAUAGAAGCACUUAGGAACUUUGUUCUACUAUUCUGCACUGAAGGAACUUUCAGAACUUUCCAGUGCUUCAGGUUGGGGUCCGGGGUAUAAAUCCUGCCUUCUCUCAGCCUUACAGAGGAAGAAAACCCUUUCCAAGUUUCCUCUGAUACUGGGUUUAUGCCCAAUUAUAGUUUAGGCAUGAAGAAACUGAAGCAUGGAGGAAAAACUUAGCAACUAGCCCAACGUCACACAGGCAAAGAGCCAGCCUUGACAAUGUGCUGAUGGCAACCU
ensembl:lncRNA PROX1-AS1 PROX1 antisense RNA 1